AGUGAACGCUGGCGGUAGGCUUAACACAUGCAAGUCGAACGGCAGCACAGGAGAGCUUGCUCACUGGGUGGCGAGAGGCGGACGGAUGAGGAAUACAUUGUAAUCUGCCCAUUCGUGGGAGCUAACGUAGGGAAACUUACUAUCAUACCGGAUACGACCUUAGGGUGAAAGAGGGGGAUCGCAAUCCCUCUCGCGUUUGGAUGCGCCGUUGGAGGUUUAGCUAGUUGUCGGGGCAUUGGCCCACCACGGCGGCGAUCCGUAGCUGGUCUGUGAGGGUGUACAGCGACAGUGAGAGUGAGACACGGUCCUGACUCCUACAGGAGGCAGCGGUGGGGAAGAGUGGACGAUGGGCGCAAGCCUGAUCCAGCCAUGCCGCGUUGAUGAAGAAGGCCUGCGGGUGGUAAAGCCCUUUUGUUGUGAAAGAAAUCUUUCAGGCUAAUACCCUGUGAGGAUGACGGUACCCAAAGAAUAAGCACCGGCUAACUUCGUG
rnacentral:rRNA from 1 species